rnacentral:rRNA from 1 species
CCUACGGGUGGCAGCAGUAGGGAAUUUUGCGCAAUGGGCGCAAGCCUGACGCAGCAACGCCGCGUGUGGGAUGAAGGCCUUCGGGUCGUAAACCACUGUCAGGAGGAAAGAACAGUCUUGUGGUUAAUACCCAUGAGAUCUGACGGUACCUCCAAAGGAAGCACCGGCUAACUCCGUGCCAGCAGCCGCGGUAAUACGGAGGGUGCAAGCGUUGUUCGGAAUUACUGGGCGUAAAGCGCGUGUAGGCGGCUUGGCAAGUCGGAUGUGAAAGCCCCGGGCUCAACCCGGGAAUUGCAUCCGAAACUGCUUCGCUAGAGUCUCGGAGAGGAAGGCAGAAUUCCCAGUGUAGGGGUGAAAUCCGUAGAUACUGGGAGGAAUACCGGUAGCGAAGGCGGCCUUCUGGACGAUGACUGACGCUGAGACGCGAAAGCGUGGGGAGC